UCUCGAAUUUCUCUCUCAAACCCAAACCUAUAUUCUGCGAUUGGCCUUAUUAAAGUUCUACGAAGACAAUUGCUUCCAAUUGUCGUCAUUCUUCAACCUCAAACCCAAACUCAUAUUGCUAUCGACCUGUAUUCGCGCCUCACCUAUUUUCUUUGAUCUUCUCGUUGUUUCACAAUAUUUUUGCUGUGAAUCGUCACCUCUUCUCCGCGAUUACAAACUUUUCUUCGAUUUAGAUGGUGAUGGCCACAUUAUUGGCAAUGAUGCUUUGAAGUUCUUUGCUUUGUCGAAUUUGUCUCGGCAAGAUCUCAAGCAGGUUUUUCAUUUUCUUUUUCGGAUUUUUUUGGGAUUGUUCGUGUUCUAAGGUUGUGACAUUUAAUAUGAAUUUAGUUAUUCUUAGUUAUUAAUUUUUUGAAAAGGUUAUCAUUUUUAUUGUUCAGUUAAGCCUUUUAGUUGAAUUAAUAUAAUAAAUUAAAUAAUGAUUACAGUGCUUUCGAAAUGGUUGUUUCUUUUUAAUUAAACUUACAAUGGAAUGAAUGUUGAUACCAUGGUGUUAUUAAUUGAAAAAUAGCAAAUUUCAUAUUCUAUUGUUAUUUGUACUAUUGGGUUGAGAUAAUUCUUUCUACUCAAUAAUGGAAAAAUAGCUUGAUUUGUUAAUGUAGUCUCUAUUGGGUGUUUUACAAUUAUGUGGUUACAUUAUUGUUUUAUUUUGUGUUUGUGGAGUAUUUUCUUUCAAAAAAAUGAAUUCAUGAAUGUAUUUCCUUGAAAUGACAUCCCUGAUUAUUUGUAGUUGGUUUCUUUGGUGCAAACUGGACUUGAAAUAACACAUAAUUUAUUGAAUAGCAACGGUAAGUUUUUCUAAAGGUGGUUUGUUGUCACUGCGUUUGUUGCUCCCUCUUCUGAUUAAAGUUGAGGAAACUCGCUGGCAGAAUUGAACCAAUAAUUACAAUUGCCACAACUGAGUAAAUCUGUCAAAUCCCAUUUGAUUUACUUUUAAUUUUGUUUUGGAUUGAUUAUCUUUAAGAUAGUUAAGAGAUUGGAGUGAUGAUUCCAUAAUAUUCAAGCUCAACAGACCGGAAUGCAGGCUCCUCUUACUGGUUUAUAUUAGAGACAAAUGACACAUAGUUUUAAAAUUAUCUUGAAUGUAUUCUGUUUUUUAAGUUUUAAUUAUUGUUUUAUUUUUCUUAAUAUUUUCAUUUUAAUUUUGUCUUGCAGGCACGGUCUAAGCUUUGGCAUAACAGUGCUGCAAUGCAAGUGCCUAUUAGAUUGGUAGAAGAUUUCAAGGGCCUUAUAGACCUUGUGCAGUUAAAAACUUACUACUUUCAUGGUACUAACGGGUAUGUUUUUGGAAGUUGAUAACUUGCAGAGCUAUUUCUUAAUAAGGAGCAUAUAUCUUCUACUGAUCUUGAGGAAGCAAUUCGCAGGGCAACCAUAACAUAGAAAUCCAUACCAAUAUUUAUGAGAAGUGCAUCCAAAACCAAGGUACUUCCAUAUUUGCAGUAUCAAUCCUUCACAAACUUAGUUAUUAUUAAUAAUUAAAACUAUUAACAACUACAUCUAAUAAUUAUUAAUUAAUUAAAAUUAGAAUUAGAUCAAGAUUAAUAAAUCAAAUCUUCAUGAUCAUCAGAAGAAGAAUCAAUUUGUACAUAAAUGGUUUAAACUUUGACUUAAACUAGGCAAUCUCCACGAGGAGUAGGAGUACUAAUUAUCUUCAUCGCUUAAAGUAGUAGCGAUCAUUGACUCAUUUAAAGUUUAACAUACUUAUAUUCAAUUGAAUUUUCAGGUUGUGUUGAUUAAUUGCGGCCUUUCAUCCUUAUGGGUUUGAAAUAUAAUCAUCUUCCCUGCUUUGAUCUCUCCUUUUGUUCGCCAGUCGAAUUUCUUUCUGUCUCCAUUACUUUAGGUGAUUGAGAGAAUGUGUCAUGUCUUUUCUGUGUAAAAUGAU